ACGCUCGACACCUACGGGAGGGAGCAGUGGGGAAUAUUGCACAAUGGGGAAACCCUGAUGCAGCGACGCCGCGUGAAGGAAGAAGUAUCUCGGUAUGUAAACUUCUAUCAGCAGGGAAGAAAAUGGCGGUACCUGACUAAGAAGCCCCGGCUAACUACGUGCUAGCAGCCGCGGUAAUCUGAGCGGGCUGGCAAGGC
rnacentral:rRNA from 1 species